AGUGAACGCUGGCGGCGUGCCUAAUACAUGCAAGUCGAGCGGAGUGGCGCGCGGGGGAGUAAUAUAUAGCUAAUCUUCCCUACACUAGAGGACAACCGUUUGAAAAGACUGCUAAUACUCUAUAGUGUAGGAUGAGGCUAUAUUGUAUCAGCUAGUUGGUGAGGGAAUGGCGCACCAAGGCUAUGACGCAUAACUGGUCUGAGAGGAUGAUCAGUCACCCUCGACGUGAGACACGGUCCAGACUCCUUGGGGAGGCAGCAGUAGUGACUAUUGGUCAAUGCGCGUAAGUCUAAAGCAGCAACGCGGCGUGGAGCAUGACCCUUUUCGGGGAGUAAACUCAUUUUGUUAGGGAAGCGUUACCUAACGAAUAAGCACCGGCUAACUCCGUGCCAGCAGCCGCGGUAAUAC
rnacentral:rRNA from 1 species